AUCCAGUUGACGAGUCCCAAAUGGGACGAAAUGCACGUACUGGAU
rnacentral:hammerhead_ribozyme from 1 species